rnacentral:rRNA from 1 species
UACGAAGGGGGCUAGCGUUGCUCGGAAUCACUGGGCGUAAAGGGUGCGUAGGCGGGUCUUUAAGUCAGGGGUGAAAUCCUGGAGCUCAACUCCAGAACUGCCUUUGAUACUGAGGAUCUUGAGUUCGGGAGAGGUGAGUGGAACUGCGAGUGUAGAGGUGAAAUUCGUAGAUAUUAGGAAGAACACCAGUGGCGAAGGCGGCUCACUGGCCCGGUACUGACGCUGAGGCGCGAAAGCGUGGGGAGCAAACAGGG